UACGUAGGGGGCAAGCGUUGUCCGGAUUUAUUGGGCGUAAAGAGCGUGUAGGCGGCCAUGCAGGUCCGUUGUGAAAACUCGAGGCUCAACCUCGAGACGUCGGUUGAAACCACCUGGCUAGAGUCCGGAAGAGGAGUGUGGAAUUCCCGGUGUAGCGGUGGAAUGCGCAGAUAUCGGGAGGAACACCCGUGGCGAAGGCGGCACUCUGGGACGGUACUGACGCUGAGGUGCGAAAGCGUGGGGAGCAAACAGG
rnacentral:rRNA from 1 species